UACGUAGGGCGCAAGCGUUGUCCGGAAUCAUUGGGCGUAAAGAGCUCGUAGGCGGUCUGUUACGUCUGCUGUGAAAUCCUAGGGCUUAACCCUGGGCCUGCAGUGGAUACGGGCAGACUAGAGGUAGGUAGGGGAGAAUGGAAUUCCCGGUGUAGCGGUGAAAUGCGCAGAUAUCGGGAGGAACACCGGUGGCGAAGGCGGUUCUCUGGGCCUUACCUGACACUGAGGAGCGAAAGCGUGGGGAGCGAACAGG
rnacentral:rRNA from 1 species